UUCAACACAUAGAUGUUUUACCAGUUAAGAAGUUCAGCACUUUUAGAGUUUCAACCCCCUAUCUGAUGUGAGCAUAAGUAUUGGAACAGUUGCCUCACAGGUCUUUCUAAGUGAUCAGCUGUGUCCUGUUGCAUUAAUUCUUCAGAUAUUAAAAGCAGGGAAUGUGUCGUAUCAGUUAUAUCCAUUACUUCUGCAUUCUGAAUCUUGCAUUUGAUGAUGACACACACAAACCAGGAUGAAGACGAGGGAGCUGACUUUGAGAGAAAAGCAAACAAUUUGGAUGCUAAAAGAAAUGAGGAAGUCAAUUAGAGCUCUAGCAAAAACAAAGGGCAUGGAGAAAUCAAGAGUUUUGAAACCACCAGCGACACCAGCAACCAACAACUACCUGAUCGGCUGAGAAAACAACAAUAGUUGAUGACAGACAAAUCAUAAAAGCUGUGAAAAUGAACCCUAAAAGACAUGUCUGUAAAAUCACCAACAACUUCCACACAGCAAAAUCUCCAGUGUUGAAAUCCUAGUGUUAAGGACUUUUAGAGUAAAGUGUUAAAGUUGUGGUGUUGAAUUUUAGGGGAUUAACAAUAGCUAGUGUAAACAGCGCCCUCUGGCCAGUGUAAAUACGCAGAGAAACUCUUAUAACACUCUGUUGAGUGUUAUUAGUCACAUCCGGGACAUUUGCUCAUGUGCGCGCUUGACCCAUCUGUAAUAUUUUUCACAGACGCCAUUUUCUUAGACUCGCGAUGCGGAGCAUAAUGAAGACGGAAAACAGCGAAAUUAAGUGUUUAAUCUUAAUCACAAUAUGUGUUUUGUAAUAUCAUAUCGUUUUAUAGCGAUAUUUAUGAGGUGUGUGCGCCUAAACUUUUUUUGAAGACAUUUCUUCCACUCGCGAGGCGGUCCAGACGAGGACGUUUCUUUUUAAAAGGGAAACGCCGAAAGUUAAGUGUUUUAUCUCAUUUGUAUGUAUUUCACAACAUCAUAUUGAUUUAUAGCGAUAUUUGUGUGAUGUGCACUCCUAAACUUUUGCUCAGAGAAAUAUUUUCCUUCACUCAUGGUGCAGAGAAGACGGGGAAAUUGGUUUUAUCAUGGAAAACACCGAAAAUGCAUUUGAAUGGCUAUGCAUUGACGCGGAAGUCGCUUUUAACAGGGGAAACAUAAGAAAGAGACAUUUUCUUUCACUGGAGAUGCGGAGCAGACGGGGAAGUUGGUCUUCUCAAGCAAAACACUGAAUGGUUCAUGCUGGCUUAACAGAAAAAUUGAAAGGAGAUGAUGUGCUUGAAGAGUAUGAAGCCACCAAUACAUUAAGCGGGAUGAGGAGAGCUUUGUUAGGACACAUACCAGAGACAUGGGAGCACUUUUGUGAUGCUGCAAGUGGGAGUUGGGUAUCUUGCUUGGCUGAAAACUGCAGAGAAACACAUCUCGUCUUGCUAAAAACUACUCUUUACAAGGAGGUCCAAACACCAUUAGCAGAGACUUUGUUCAGUUAGCAUUAACAUGCAUUCUGCCUGGAUGCUAAUGAAUGGGAUGCUGUUGUUUAAGCUGAUAAAUGUAAGCAUUAUAAACCUCAUGACAUUAAGUGUACAUAUGGACCAAAUAAGAAUAUGUAUUUUGUGCCUUUGCACUGAUUUGCUUUGACAUUAUGAUGUUUUAAUUGUUGUAAGAACAUGUUCUUUACAUGCAUUGAAAACAUUGAAUGUGAAAACAUUUUUCUCAGGGAAAAAGAUUUACAAUGUUUCAAUUAAAAAUUAAAAAUUAAUAAUUGUAAAAGUGUAUUGUUUUGUGGGUUAAUUUUUUAAAUAUUUUUACCUGAACAUUGGUGCAGUGUUCACCAGUUGAGGGAGUUAAAUUCACUCUUUAAAAUUUGCAGUGUAGGUAUAUGUUUUAAUCUGCAUUACCAUUUUAAAAUAAGUAUUUACAAUAUUUACAUUAAAUCAACAUUAAAUACACUGGGUGUCUAGGAUUAAUCACCAUAAAGUGUUAAAUGUGUAUACUUGCUAGUAAUAAUUUCUUAACACCCUGAGUGAUUAAAAUUAAACACUAACACAGUGUUCGUAUAAUAAACACUUUUGUCAGUGUUGUUUUAACACUAGCAAAGAUGGACCUGUAUGUUCACCCGGAAAGUGAUAAUUUUAACACCCAUGGUGACAAAUCUCCCAACAUAUUUUUGCUGUGCAGAAAGCUGGGGUGAUUCUCUGACAAUCUACUGUCCUCAGGAGACUUUGACACAGAAUUACAGAUGCUACUCAGCAAGAUACAAACCUCUGACUAGCUCCAAAAAUAGAAAGGCAAGAUUGGAGUUUGCAAAAAAGCAAAGGUGAGCCAGAAGAGUUUUGGAACUGUGUUUAUGGACCGAUGAGACAAAGAUGAACCUUUAUCUAAGUGAUGGGAAAGCAAAAAUGUGGAGAAAAAAAAGGGAACUGCAAUGAUCCCAAGUAUACAGCCUCAUCUGUAAAGCAUGGUGGAGGUGGUGUCAUGGCAUGGGCAUGCAUGGCUGCCUCUGGAACAGGCCCUCUCAACUUUACUGAUGACUUAAUGUAUGAUGACAGUAGCAGAAUGAAUUUUGAAGUGUACAAAACCAUCUUGCCUACCAAUAUUCAAGAAAAUGCUACCAGAUUAAUUGGGAAGUGUUUCAUAUUGCAUCAGGACAAUGACCCAAAACACUCUGCCAGUUCAGUCAAGGAGUUUAUAAGGGCAAAGAAAUGGAACGUCUUAGAUUGGCCAAGUCAAUCUCCAGAUUUAAAUCUGAUUGAACAUGAAUUCCACCAGCUGAAGAGGAGAGUAAGGGCAGAAACUCCCCAAAACAAGCAACAAUUGGAAUUGGCUGCAUUGAAGGCUGGGAAAAGUAUUUCAAAGGAUGAAACCAAGAGGCUGGUGAUGUCUGGGUCACAGUCUCACUUCUGUGAUUGUGCACAAGGGAUAUGCAACUAAAUAAUAGCUUUUAAUCUUUUAUAUUUGCCUUAUGUUCAACUGUCUCAAAACUUAUGCUCACAUCAAUGAGUGGGAUGAACUCUAAAAGUGCUGUUCUUUUUAUUUUUUAAAACAUUUGUGUGUUGAAAUGGCUAAUAAUAAAAUGUGACAUUCUG